rnacentral:rRNA from 1 species
AUAGCGUAUAUUAAAGUUGUUGCAGUUAAAAAGCUCGUAGUUGAACCUUGGGCCUGGCUGGCCGGUCCGCCUCACCGCGUGCACUGGUCCGGCCGGGCCUUUCCUUCUGGGGAGCUGCAUGCCCUUCACUGGGUGUGUCAGGGAACCAGGACUUUUACUUUGAAAAAAUUAGAGUGUUCAAAGCAGGCCUAUGCUCGAAUACAUUAGCAUGGAAUAAUAGAAUAGGACGUGCGGUUCUAUUUUGUUGGUUUCUAGGACUGCCGUAAUGAUUAAUAGGGAUAGUCGGGGGCAUCCGUAUUCAAUUGUCAGAGGUGAAAUUCUUGGAUUUAUUGAAGACGAACUACUG